GACGGACGCUGGCGGCGUGCUUAACACAUGCAAGUCGAACGGAAAGGCCCCAGCUUGCUGGGGUACUCGAGUGGCGAACGGGUGAGUAACACGUGGGUGAUCUGCCCUGCACUCUGGGAUAAGCCUGGGAAACUGGGUCUAAUACCGGAUAGGACCGUGCUUUAGUGUGUGCGGUGGAAAGUUUUUCGGUGCAGGAUGAGCCCGCGGCCUAUCAGCUUGUUGGUGGGGUAAUGGCCUACCAAGGCGGCGACGGGUAGCCGGCCUGAGAGGGUGUACGGCCACAUUGGGACUGAGACACGGCCCAGACUCCUACGGGAGGCAGCAGUGGGGAAUAUUGCACAAUGGGCGCAAGCCCGAUGCAGCGACGCCGCGUGGGGGAUGACGGCCUUCGGGUUGUAAACCCCUUUCGGCAGGGACGAAGCUUUUGUGACGGUACCUGCAUAAGAAGCACCGGCUAACUACGUG
rnacentral:rRNA from 1 species